rnacentral:rRNA from 1 species
AGAAUCAACGCUGGCGGCGUGCCUAACACAUGCAAGUCGAACGAGAAAGUGGAGCAAUCCAUGAGUAAAGUGGCGCACGGGUGAGUAACACGUGACUAACCUACCCUCGAGUGGGGAAUAACUUCGGGAAACCGAGGCUAAUACCGCAUAAAACCUAAGGGUCAAAGGAGCAAUCCGUUUGAGGAGGGGGUCGCGGCAGAUUAGUUAGUUGGCGGGGUAAUGGCCCACCAAGACGAUGAUCUGUAUCCGGCCUGAGAGGGCGCACGGACACACUGGAACUGAAACACGGUCCAGACUCCUACGGGAGGCAGCAGUGGGGAAUUUGCGCAAUGGGGGAAACCCUGACGCAGCAACGCCGCGUGGAGGAUGAAAUCCCUUGGGAUGUAAACUCCUUUCGAUCGGGAAGAUAAUGACGGUACCGGAAGAAGAAGCCCCGGCUAACUUCGUGCCAGCAGCCGC